rnacentral:rRNA from 1 species
AUGCCUGUGGCACGAGGCGCCAAGAAGCCGGGUCCCGUCGACUCCGACUCUGACGACGAUGGUCUCGUCUCCAAAAAGCCGACCAAAUCGUCCACCUAUUCGGUUCCUACCGGCAACAAGAAGCAGUACAAGGACGGGUUCAAGGACUCCGGCGGGCUGGAGAACCAGUCGGUGGAGGAGCUCGAGAACUACGCGGCGUACAAGGCCGAGGAGACCACAGACACGCUCAACGGCUGCCUCCGUAUCGCUGAGAACAUCAAGGAGGAUGCCACCAACACGAUGAUAACCCUGCAGAAGCAGGGAGAGCAGAUCAGCAGGACCCACGAGAAAGCCGUCGAGAUCGACCAGGACCUCACCAAGGGUGAGGGUCUCCUUAAUAGCCUUGGAGGGUUCUUCUCCAAGCCAUGGAAGCCCAAGAAAACAAAGAAGAUCAAGGGGCCAGUGUCGCGAGAUGAUUCCUUCAAAAAGAAGGUGAACCGAAUGGAACAGAGGGAUAAGCUAGGGCUGAGCCCUCGAGGGAAGGGGAAUACCCGCGAGUACGGCGAAGCCACAAGUGCCAUGGACAAAGUUCAGUUGGAGAAGAAAAAGCAGGAUGAUGCCCUCGACGAUCUCAGCGGCGUGCUGGGGCAGCUCCAGGGCAUGGCUGUUGACAUGGGAUCAGAGCUUGAUAGGCAAAACAAAGCACUCGAUGAUAUGCACGGCGACGUGGAAGAACUCAACUCCAGGGUGAAGCAAGCAAACCAGCGUGCCCGCAAGAUUCUCGCCGAUUAG